rnacentral:rRNA from 1 species
UAGGGAAUCUUCCGCAAUGGGCGAAAGCCUGACGGAGCAACGCCGCGUGAGUGAUGAAGGUCUUCGGAUCGUAAAACUCUGUUAUUAGGGAAGAACAAAUGUGUAAGUAACUAUGCACGUCUUGACGGUACCUAAUCAGAAAGCCACGGCUAACUACGUGCCAGCAGCCGCGAUAAUACGUAGGUGGCAAGCGUUAUCCGGAAUUAUUGGGCGUAAAGCGCGCGUAGGCGGUUUUUUAAGUCUGAUGUGAAAGCCCACGGCUCAACCGUGGAGGGUCAUUGGAAACUGGAAAACUUGAGUGCAGAAGAGGAAAGUGGAAUUCCAUGUGUAGCGGUGAAAUGCGCAGAGAUAUGGAGGAACACCAGUGGCGAAGGCGACUUUCUGGUCUGUAACUGACGCUGAUGUGCGAAAGCGUGGGGAUCAAACAGG